GGACCAUAGCUCAGUUGUAGAGCAUCUGCCUUGCAAGUAGAAGGUACCAGGUUCAAUCCCUGGUAUUUCCA
rnacentral:tRNA from 1 species